AAGAGCGCUUUGCUCAUUGGUUGAUUUCCUGCAAAGCUUUUCUUCUUUCAGGUUUUCCGUGCAAUUUAAGGCUUCACGAGAAGGCUUUAACUCCUGUUGCUAGGAGGCGAAGCCGACAAGUUUUGUUUCUGUCCCCCACUUUUUUAAGGGCAGCCGCCUUUCAUUCACUGUUGUGCCGUCGGGUCGAAUGGUAGGACGGGAUCCUUUCGCCUUCCUAUCAAACAUUUUCUUCUCAUUGGCGGAGGAGAGAUUUAAAGCUGUCCACGAUAGGAAUCAGAAUCAGACUAGACCUGGAAGGGACCUUGGAGGUCUUCUAGUCCAGCCCAAUGCUCCUCGGCUGUUUCUGCAGAUUUUUAGAGAAUCAUGUAACAUAUGACAAGAUUACAGGGCCCAGUAUUCAAAUCUGUCAAGAUCCUUCUGUAUCUUGAGCCUAUCAUCUGGAGCAGGGAUCCCAGAACCCUGGGCCGCAUAACAGACAAUGCAAGCAACAGGCAAGCAAAUGAAGCUUCAUCUUGCCUGCGUGGGAUCUAGGUUGCAUGCAAAACCUUCCUCCCCCCCCCAAAAAAAAAGUCUGUGAAAAAAAUUGAUGUCCAUGAAACUGGUCCCUGGUGCCAGAAAGAUUAGGUACCACUGAUCUGGAGUAUUGGCUAUUCCUGCCAGCUUGAUGUCAUCUGCAAAUGAGUUUCCCUAAGCUAUCAUUUAAUAGUUUAUGAAGAUAUUGAAGAGUACUGAGCUUAUCAUUCUUUAUUAACAUUCUUAAGGAAAAGGGAAUAUUACAUCCCAAAUGAAUACUUCAUGUGCAAAACGUAGGUGCAGCCCAAAUGUUAUUGUAUUUUUUACACCAAACUUGAGGAUCCUAGUGAAUUAGCAAGAUAGAAAAUCAAACAGAGACAAAAAUUGAAAUGAGGACAGUUCAAAAAUCAUAAGUGGCCAAUUUGUUUAAAGAUAACAGAGGACCAUGAUUACAUAGCCAGUUUAGUGUGUAAGUAGUGAAUUUAUGAGUAUGAUUAUUUGUAUUUGGAACAAUGCUGUAAGGUGCGUGUACAUGAAAAGGUGAACAGGAAACUAAGCUAGCAUAUAGAGAAAUUGCAACAUGAAACUUGGCAGGAAAGCAUGGGAAAAAAAAGACAAUGUCAUGCAACAAGAACCACAAGUUGUAGCAAUCUUGUAUACAGUAGGAAUCAUGCAGAAGAGAAAGCAACAGGGUUAACAGCACGAAAAAUAGUAUUUUAAUAAA